GCCUCCGUAGUGUCAACGGCAAGCACGCGCCCUUUGUACGGCCGAGGUGCGGGUUCGACUCCUGCCGGAGGCU
rnacentral:tRNA from 1 species